GAUGAAGAACGUAGCGAAACGCGAAAGGUAAUGCGAAUUGCAGAAUCAGUGAGUCAUCGAAUCUUUGAACGCACAUUGCGCCCCCUGGUAUUCCGGGGGGCAUGCCUGUUCGAGCGUCAUUUCACCACUCAAGCCUCGCUUGGUAUUGGGCAACGCGGUCCGCCGCGUGCCUCAAAUCGACCGGCUGGGUCUUCUGUCCCCUAAGCGUUGUGGAAACUAUUCGCUAAAGGGUGUUCGGGAGGCUACGCCGUAAAACAACCCCAUUUCUAAGGUUGACCUCGGAUCAGGUAGGGAUACCCGCUGAACUUAAGCAUAUCAAUAAGCGGAGGA
rnacentral:misc_RNA from 1 species